GAGCAAACAGGAUUAGAUACCUGGUAGUCCACGCCGUAAACGAUGAGUGCUAAGUGUUAGGGGGUUUCCCCCCUUAGUGCUGCAGCUAACGCAUUAAGCACUCCGCUGGGGAGUACGACCGCAAGGUUGAAACUCAAAGGAAUUGACGGGGGCCCGCACAAGCGGUGGAGCAUGUGGUUUAAUUCGAAGCAACGCGAAGAACCUUACCAGGUCUUGACAUCCUUUGACAACUCUAGAGAUAGAGCUUUCCCUUCGGGGACAAAGUGACAGGUGGUGCAUGGUUGUCGUCAGCUCGUGUCGUGAGAUGUUGGGUUAAGUCCCGCAACGAGCGCAACCCUUAUUGUUAGUUGCCAUCAUUCAGUUGGGCACUCUAGCGAAACUGCCGGUGACAAACCGGAGGAAGGUGGGGAUGACGUCAAAUCAUCAUGCCCCUUAUGACCUGGGCUACACACGUGCUACAAUGGACAGUACAAUGAGCAGCGACACGGCGACGUGAAGCGAAUCUCAUAAAGCUGUUCUCAGUUCGGAUUGUAGGCUGCAACUCGCCUACAUGAAGCCGGAAUCGCUAGUAAUCGCGGAUCAGCACGCCGCGGUGAAUACGUUCCCGGGCCUUGUACACACCGCCCGUCACACCACGAAAGUUUGUAACACCCAAAGUCGGUGAGGUAACCUUCGGGAGCCAGCCGCCUAAGGUGGGAUAGAUGAUUGGGGUGAAGUCGUAACAAGGUAACCA
rnacentral:rRNA from 1 species